UGUGCAAUCGCAAAGCGUCAACACUGAACUGAACACUCGAAGAAAUUGAACGCACUCACAACCUUCCUUUCAUGAAAUGGAACGCACGAGAAACAUUUAUUUAACUUAAAUAUAAUAAUCAUAAUGAUAAUCAUUAUCAUAAU